GUUUCUAGUGGCGGACGGGUGAGUAACGCGUGGGUAACCUGCCUUAUACAGGGGGAUAACAACCAGAAAUGGUUGCUAAUACCGCAUAAGCGCACAGGACCGCAUGGUCCGGUGUGAAAAACUCCGGUGGUAUAAGAUGGACCCGCGUUGGAUUAGCUAGUUGGUGAGGUAACGGCCCACCAAGGCGACGAUCCAUAGCCGGCCUGAGAGGGUGAACGGCCACAUUGGGACUGAGACACGGCCCAGACUCC
rnacentral:rRNA from 1 species